AGUGAACGCUGGCGGUAGGCCUAACACAUGCAAGUCGAACGGCAGCACAGUAAGAGCUUGCUCUUACGGGUGGCGAGUGGCGGACGGGUGAGGAAUACAUCGGAAUCUACUUUUUCGUGGGGGAUAACGUAGGGAAACUUACGCUAAUACCGCAUACGACCUACGGGUGAAAGCAGGGGAUCUUCGGACCUUGCGCGAUUGAAUGAGCCGAUGUCGGAUUAGCUAGUUGGCGGGGUAAAGGCCCACCAAGGCGACGAUCCGUAGCUGGUCUGAGAGGAUGAUCAGCCACACUGGAGCUGGGACACGGUCCAGACUCCUACGGGAGGCAGCAGUGGGGAAUAUUGGACAAAGGGCGCAAGCCUGAUCCAGCCAUACCGCGUGGGUGAAGAAGGCCUUCGGGUUGUAAAGCCCUUUUGUUGGGAAAGAAAAGCAGCAGGUUAAUACCCCGCUGUUCUGACGGUACCCAAAGAAUAAGCACCGGCUAACUUCGUG
rnacentral:rRNA from 1 species